rnacentral:rRNA from 1 species
AUUGAACGCUGGCGGCAUGCCUUACACAUGCAAGUCGAACGGUAACGGGCCUUCGGGUUCCGACGAGUGGCGAACGGGUGAGUAAUACAUCGGAACGUGCCCGAUCGUGGGGGAUAACGAGGCGAAAGCUUUGCUAAUACCGCAUACGAUCUACGUAUGAAAGCAGGGGACCGCAAGGCCUUGCGCGGACGGAGCGGCCGAUGGCAGAUUAGGUAGUUGGUGGGAUAAAAGCUUACCAAGCCGACGAUCUGUAGCUGGUCUGAGAGGAUGAUCAGCCACACUGGGACUGAGACACGGCCCAGACUCCUACGGGAGGCAGCAGUGGGGAAUUUUGGACAAUGGGCGCAAGCCUGAUCCAGCCAUGCCGCGUGCAGGAUGAAGGCCUUCGGGUUGUAAACUGCUUUUGUACGGAACGAAAAGCCUUCUUUUAAUACAGGAGGGUCAUGACGGUACCGUAAGAAUAAGCACCGGCUAACUACGUG